rnacentral:rRNA from 1 species
UAAGGAAUAUUGGACAAUGGGCGCAAGCCUGAUCCAGCCAUGCCGCGUGCAGGAUGAAAGUGCUAUGCACUGUAAACUGCUUUUACUUGGGAAAAAACCCCUGGUUUACACCGGGGCUGAUUGUACCGAGAGAAUAAGGGACGGCUAACUUCGUGCCAGCAGCCGCGGUAAUACGAAGGUCCCAAGCGUUAUCCGGAUUUAUUGGGUUUAAAGGGUGCGUAGGCGGACUAUUAAGUCAGUGGUGAAAGCCCCAAGCUUAACUUGGGAACUGCCAUUGAUACUGAUGGUCUUGAGUACAUUUGAGGUGGGCGGAAUGUGUCAUGUAGCGGUGAAAUGCUUAGAUAUGACACAGAACACCGAUUGCGAAGGCAGCUCACUAAACUGUAACUGACGCUGAGGCACGAAAGCGUGGGGAGCAAACAGGAUUAGAUACCCCCGUAGUCC